rnacentral:rRNA from 1 species
UACGUAGGUUCCGAGCGUUGUCCGGAUUUAUUGGGCGUAAAGCGAGCGCAGGUGGUUUAUUAAGUCUGGUGUAAAAGGCAGUGGCUCAACCAUUGUAUGCAUUGGAAACUGGUAGACUUGAGUGCAGGAGAGGAGGGUGGAAUUCCAUGUGUAGCGGUGAAAUGCGUAGAUAUAUGGAGGAACACCGGUGGCGAAAGCGGCUCUCUGGCCUGUAACUGACACUGAGGCUCGAAAGCGUGGGGAGCAAACAGG